UUCUUCCAGCCGCGCUGCUCCACCUUCCGCGCCGCUUGGCCUCCACACGCCGCCUCGCCCUUUCCCCUUCUCCUCCACUUCCUUUUCCCACCGGAAACCCCCACCCUUCAACUCCCUACUCAAGUAACCGGCGCACCUCCAAGGCCAUUAAUGGCGCCGGCCGCUCCCUUUGCCUCCUGGCGCCUCAGCUCCCUCCCUCCGCUUAUAAAAUCGAGCGCCCAAGCUCGGAUGCCGCUGCUGCCACCUUCGCCCCUGCCCCUGCUGCUGCGCCACCAAGCAGCACCGCCCGUAUUCUUUUCUUGUCCGCCGCCGCCACCCGCACCAACUCUGGCCACCGCCACUCCGGCCGCCGCCGUCCUGCACCGGCCCCUUGGCCUGGCGCGCCUCCGCCGCUGCAGCCAGCGCCCUUCGCACCUCCCGGGCCGGCCGCCAGCCGCCGGCAAGAGCUCUUCC
rnacentral:lncRNA from 1 species